rnacentral:rRNA from 1 species
AAUAAACGCAAAUAAAAUUUAUUAUUUGGAGUUAAAAUUUAAUUAUAAUAUAAAAUUAAAUUUUUUAGGUUAAAUUUUAAAUUUAAAAAAUUAUUAAAAAUUAGUUAAUUUUAAGCUUAAAAAUUUUUUUAAUAAACUAGGAUUAGAUACCCUAUUAUAAAAAAUGUAAAUAUAAAAAAUAGAGUAGUAAUAGUUAUAUUCUUAAAACUUAAUAAAUUUGGCGGUAUUUUAAUCUAAUCAGAGGAACUUGUUUUAUAAUUGAUAAUCCUCGUUUAAUCUUACUUAAAUUAUUAGUUUGUAUACCAUCGUCAUAAGAAUCUCUUAAAAAAGAAAAAAUUUUCUAAAAAAUUUAUUAGUUAAAAUGUCAGAUCAAGGUGCAGCUUAUAUUUAAGAAAAAAUGAGUUACAAUAAAUUUAUUUAUAUGGAUUUAAAAAUGAAUAUUUUUAAUGAAAGUGGAUUUGAUAGUAAAAUAAAUUAAAUAGUUUAUUUGAUUUUAGUUCUAAAAUAUGCACAUAUCGCCCGUCGCUCUCGUUAUUUAAAAUGAG